rnacentral:lncRNA from 1 species
UAAAAAAAAAAGAUGGGUCCAACCUCUCUUCUCUCUUACUUUUUCACAUUCUUGACCCUCUUCCAUGGCUUCACUGCUCAGCAGUGGCCCAACGAGUGCCAGCUCGACCAACUCAAUGCACUCGAGCCGAGUCAGAUCAUCAAGAGUGAGGGUGGUCGCAUUGAGGUCUGGGACCACCAUGCACCUCAGCUCCGUUGCUCUGGCUUCGCCUUUGAGCGUUUCGUCAUUGAGCCUCAGGGUCUUUACUUGC